rnacentral:rRNA from 1 species
GUGUUUGAAUUUUCGACCUGAACUCAGACGUGAGUACCCGCUGAACUUAAGCAUAU